rnacentral:lncRNA from 1 species
CCCUGUGCUAAGAACCUGGGAUGCAAAGAAAGGUAGAAAAGAAGCCCAUCCUUCAAGGAGACCCCAAGCCCAGGCUGCUGGAAGCCUGGAUCAUCCUUUUCAGGAGGACACAGUCAGCCUUCCUCCCUCCCCCCUCAAGAACCCCUGGUUGCCUUCCCAGCUCAGCUUUUUUUCAGCUGCUGCCUUUGCUGCUCCUCCCAGCUGCCACUGCCCGCCCCUCCCCCCAAAGUUUAGACCAUCUCCCUUUUGUUCCUUUGGUAACGCUCUGGUUUUUAAUAUUUUAUUUUUCCAGUCACUUUAAAAACAAUUCUGAACGUUCAUUUUUAAAAAUCUUGAGUUCCAAAUUCUCUCUCCCAGCCUCCUUGGGAAGGCAAUUAACUUUAUAUUUAUAUGUAUGUGUGUAUAUAUAUAUAUAUAUAUAUAUAUUAACACUUGCGAGUCAUACAACGCAUAUUCCCACAUUAACCAUGUCAUGAAAGAAAAAAACAUCAAAAAAAGGGAAAAAACACCAGAAAAAUAAAGUUAAACACAGGCGUGCUUGGAUCUGUCCUUUCUUGGAAAAUGGCGAGCACGGUCCGAGUCCUUAGGAGUUAUCUUGGAUCAUCCAUCGCUGAGAAUGGUCAUCCAUGGCCGACCAUCACCCGGUGACUGUGGCUGUGAGCGGCGCCCUCCUGGUUCUGCGGCCUCACUCGGCAUCAGGCUGAAGGCUUUCCAGGCUUUCCUGAGAGCAUCUUGCUCCUCGUUUCUCAGGGCACAAUAGUGCUUUAUGGUAACCUUGUACACAGCGUGCUCAGUCAUUCCCCAACUAGCCGAUGGCAUUCCCUCAGUUUCCAUUUCUUUGCCACCUUAAAGAGAUCUGCUGCAGUUUGGUACAUGGAGAUCCUAUAUCUUCCUUCCUCCCUUCAUCCCUCCCUCCCUCCCUCUCUUCUUUCUUUCUCUCUCCUUUCUUUCUUUCUUUUUUCUCUUUCUUUCUUUCUCUCUCUUCUUUCUUUUUCUCUCUUUUCUUUCUUUCUCUCUUUUUUCUUUCUUCCUUCCUUCUCUUUCUUUCUUUCUCUCUUCCUCUCUCUCUCUCUCUCUUUCUUUCUCUAUCUCUUUGGUAUAGAGACCUAGUAGUCCUGUUGCUGGGUCAAGGGAUAUGCACAAUUUUGUAGUCCUUUAGGCAUAAUGAACCAAAUGUUGCAUUAGCUCAUAACUCCACCAACACUGCUUUGGUGCCCAAAUUUCCCCCAUCUCCCACACUUGUCAUUUUCCUUUUCUAUACAUUAGCCAAUCUGACAGGUGUGAAGUGUUACCUCAGAAUUGUUUUUAUUUGCAUUUCUGUAAUCAAUCAUGAUUCAGAGCAUUUUUUUCCUAUGACUAGAUGACUGUUUACUUCUGAAACGUGCCCAUUCAUCAACUGGAGGAAGGACUCCUAUGCUGAGAUAUUUGACUCAGUUCUCUACAUAUUUGGGAAUGAGGCCUUUAUCAGAGAGACUUGCUAUAAGAAUUCCCCUCUCUCCACUCACUCUUCUGCUUUCCUUUUAAUUGUGGUUUUAUCAGUUUUGUUUUUGUAACAGCUUUUAAAUUUAAUAUAAUAGAAAUGAUCCAUUUUACAUCUCUUAAUGCUGACUCUUGUUUGGUCCUAAAAUCUGCCUUUAAUCACGGACCCGACAGGUAAACUAUUCCAUGCUCCCCUAAUUUGCUUUUGGUAUUGCCUUUAUGUCCAAAGCCUGUGUCUAUUUUGAUCUUAUCUUGCUAUGCUGUGUGAGAUAUUGGUCUAUAUCCUAGUUUCUGCCUAACUGUUAUCCCAGCAUUUUUUUUUUUCAUCAAAUAGUGAAUUCUCGUCCUGAAAACGUGCACCUUUGGGUUUAUCAAACAUUAGAUUAUUAGGGUUAUUUACUACUCCGUAUCGAGUACCCAGUCUAGUUUACUGAUCUACCGCUCCAUUCCUUGGCCAGUACAUGAGUGCUUUGAUGACUGUUGCUUUAUAUACAACUUCAGAUCUGGUUCAGCUCCGCUGUCUUCCUUCACAUAUUUCCCACUGAUUUCCUUGAUAUUCUUGACAUUUUGUUCUUCCAGAUGAAUUUUGUGAUGAUUUUUUCUAACUAAUUUUUUUUUUGGUAGUUGGCUUGGAAUGACAAUAAAUAAUUAAUUAAUGUAGGUAGUACUGUCGUUUUUCUAACACUGGCUUGGCCUACCCAUGAGCAAUGAACAUUUUCCCAAUUGUUUAAUCUGACUUUAUUUAUACUAAGUGUUUUAUAAUUGGGUUCAUGUAGUUCCUGGGUUUCUCUUGGCAGUAGAUUCCCAAUACUUUAUCUUAUUUUAAAUGGCAUUUCUCUUUCUAUCUGUUGCUAUCCGACUUGUUCAUAAUAUGUGGAAAUGCUGAUGAUUUCUGUGGGCUUAUUUUGUUUUCGGCAAUUCUGCUAAAGUUGAUCAUUUCAAUUAGGUUUUUAGUUGAUUCUCUAAGUUUAGCAUCAUAUCAUCUAGAGUGAUAAAUUUUGUUUCCUCAUUGCCUUUUCUAAUUCCUUCAGUUUCUUCUGCUCUUAUUGACAUAGCUAGUAUAAUGUUGAAUAAAAAUAGUGAUACGAGGCGUCCUUCCUUCACCCCCAUUUGUAUUGGGAAGGCUUCUAGUUUUUCUCCUUUAUAGCUCAUGCUUGUGAUAGCUUUAGAUUAGAUGCUACUUAGCAUUUUAAGGAAAGCUGCAUUUAUUCUUAUGCUUUCUAGUGUUUUUAAUAGGAAUGGCUGCUACAUUUUGUCAGCUUUUUCUGCAUCUGCAUGUUGAGAUCAUCAUGUGAUUCCUGGUAUAAAUCCCACCUGACCAUAGUCUACAAUCUUUGUGAUAUAUUGCUGCAUCGCCCUUGCUAGGAUUUUAGUUUAAGCUUGUUUGCAUCUAUAUUCAUUAGUGAAAUUGGCCUAUAGUUUUCUCUGUUCUUGCUCUUCCCAGUUUAGCUAUCUGCCAUAUUUGUCUUCUGAAAGAAAUCUGGCAGGACUCUGUCUAUUUAAUGAAAUAAUGUGUAGAAUACUGGAAUUUAGAGAAUAAUUCCAGUAUUAUACAAGUUAUUUAAUUUCUCUUUUUAUUUAUUUAAUUUGUUGAUACUCUACAUGGUUGCCAGAUUUAACAUGAACCCAUCAGGUCCUGGGGAUUCUUUCUAGGGAGCUCAUUGAUGGUUUAUUUAAUUUCUUUUUCUAAACCAGGGCUGAGUAUUCUCUCCUCUCUUCAGUUAACUUGGGCAAUUUAAAUCUUCGUAAAUAUUCAUCCAUUUCAUUUUGUCAGAUUUAUUGGCCAUAUGAUGGGCACAACAGCCCCGCAAAACUGCUUUAAUUUCCUCUUGAUUGAUCUUUUUCAUUUUUGAAGCUGCCCAUUUGUUUUUCGUCUUUCCUUUUCUUUGGAGAAAUCCAAUGAAUGCUUUGUCUACUUUAUUGCGCCCCCCCCUCCCCCAGCUCUUAGUUUUAUUUGUUUUUCUUACUUUCAACUUCAUUAAUCUCUCACUUUCACAUUUCCAGUGUGUGUUCCGGCGGGUGAGGGCUUUCGGUUUGUUCUUUUUGUCUGUUUUCUAGCUUCCUGACGUAAUUACUUAGAGUUGCCCGGCUCUGGCCGCCUCCUCCCCUCGCCCGUUGUCCUUCUCUUUCAGGAAAUGCCUGUUUCUAGAGCUCACUUUGACCCAUCCACGCUUUCGAACGCGUCUCCUGCGAAUUGCCGUCUGCUCCCCCAGGACCGCGCGUCACUUUUCUGCCCGACCACCACGAGGGGGCGCCCUUGCUAGCGCCGCCUGCCUGACGGCCGGGUCAGUUUCUGGGUAGAUUGCGGACUCCGCUCCGGCAGCUACUUUGUAACUGGAGCUGUGGGGAGGCCGGGUGCCCAAUGAGAGGUCAGCCUAGCCCGCCCCGGCUAGGCCCCGCCCCCUUCCGGGAUCCCGCCCCCAGGCCUGCGGGCUGGGGGCUUCCGGAGGGGCGGGACCCCUGCUUUGGUUGACGUCUCCUGGAGGCUCCGCCCCUUAGCAAGAGGGGAGGGGGGAGUCCUCAGGUUCUCAUUUAUUAUGCGC